rnacentral:rRNA from 1 species
CCUACGGGUGGCAGCAGUGGGGAAUAUUGCGCAAUGGGCGAAAGCCUGACGCAGCGACGCCGCGUGAGGGAUGAAGGUUUUCGGAACGUAAAGCUCUGUCAGAAGGGAAGAAGUUGCAUGGGGCCAAUCACCUGUGCAUUGACGGUACCUUCAAAGGAAGCACCGGCUAACUCCGUGCCAGCAGCCGCGUUAAUACGGAGGGUGCGUGCGUUAAUCGGAAUUACUGGGCGGAAAGCGAACGUAGGCUGGAUGGCAAGUCAAGGGUGAAAUCCCACGGCUCAUCCGUGGAACUGCCUUUGAAACUGGCAAACUGGAGUAUGUGAGAGGGCAGCGGAAUUCCUAGUGUAGGGGUGAAAGCCGUAGAUAUCAGGAGGAACAUCAGUGGCGAAGGCGGCCGCCUGGCACAAAACUGACGCUGAGGUGCGAAAGCGUGGGUAGCAAACAGGAUUAGAUACCCGAGUAGUC